rnacentral:rRNA from 1 species
ACGCUCGACACCUAGGGAGCAGCAGUAGGGAAUCUUCCACAAUGGGCGCAAGCCUGAUGGAGCAACACCGCGUGAGUGAAGAAGGGUUUCGGCUCGUAAAGCUCUGUUGUUGGAGAAGAACGUGCGUGAGAGUAACUGUUCACGCAGUGACGGUAUCCAACCAGAAAGUCACGGCUAACUACGUGCCAGCAGCCGCGGUAAUCUGAGCGGGCUGGCAAGGC